rnacentral:lncRNA from 1 species
GUAGUGGCUUCUCAGGAUGUGCAAAUGUCAGUGAGUGCCCAGGAAAAGUCAGGAGUGGAGCUCAGCGCCUGCUGUGGAAAGCGACUGCAGUUUCCCCUGUUUGAUGUAUAUGCCCACAUAGUUUUCAUCCAUCUUGGCUAAUUAUCCAAAGAAGCCUUUGACUUCAUAUCUUUGAUUUUCAAAACAAAAACUACCCAUAUUUAAAGCUCAAUAUCUAUAUCACUCUGUGGAUGUACUUUUAAAAUAAAUAAAUAAAUAAAGCUUAAAAAUCCAGAUUUAUGAAGGUGCUUAAAGGGAGCAGAAUUCAUGAACAGCUAUCUCCAAGCCAUAUCAUAACUUUAGAAAAAGAAAUAAUGCAAAAACUUUUAAAAAAGAAAGCAUUAAUAAUGCUUGAAAAACUGAAAAGACUUUGCUCAGCUUAUAACAUUUUUAUAUCUGAAAGCUUCCAAGAUGCUAAGGAUGGUUCAUCACAGGCAAUGUUAAUGAUUGUAAAUGAAAAUUUAAAAAAUUCUGUCUAGUCUCAAAAGCAAGUAUGUAUUUAACUUGCUAAAGAUGAUAAAGAUUUUUAUGAUAAUGAAGUCUGGAGAAGAAUUGAAGUUGGGCAAAAUGACCAUAUGCAUUGCAAAAUGAAACAUCAAACAAGCAGUGGCACUGCAGGGUGUUA